AUAAUAUAUAAAAAAAUCUUUUAUAAUUUUAAUAUUUAUUUGGGAUUUAUUAUGUUAAUUGUGCAUUUAUUAGGGGUGAAUCGGUAUUUUACUCUUUGUUCAAGUGAGUAUUUAGCGCUUGGUGGGGGAAAUCAUUUUUCAUUGUAUCUCGAUAGUGACUUAUUGAAUGGGUCAAGUUUGGCCUCAGAAACUUAUGGUAACUCUUGUUUGUCACACACCCAAGAAUUUGAAGUGAAGGAAAUUGAGGCGCUUUCUCUCACUUAUUUUUGCAAAAAUUACAUUUUUGGUCCUCGAGUAUGGCUGAUUUUGUUCAAUUUGGGUCCUACAAAAUUCUCUUGCAAAUUUGAUCCUUAUUUGAGGUUUUUGUAACGUUUUUACUCUUCGUUCCAAGUAAAAUGAGUUGGGACUAAAAUUGAAAAGAUUAGCAAUACUCAGGGACCAAAAACGGUCAUCUUACUUAGAACAAGGACUGAAACUCUACAAGAAAUUUCGAAGGACCGAAAUUGUAAGAGAAUUUUUGGGGACCAAAAUUGAAAAAAUGGUUCGGGACCAAAAAUAGUCAAAUAAGGACUAAAGUUGCAAGUGAAAACUUUUUGGGACCAAAAUCAGAAAAAUUAGAGAUUCUCAGGGACCAAAAGUGUAAUUUAAUAUAAAUAGUUUGCAUAAGUUGAGUUGAUAUGAAUGUCAAUGUGUGCAACUGUGGGGGUUUGUAUACGCUUCAGAGUAUGAAGAGGCGAUAUCAAUGUUGAGGACAGAAGCACCUGGGAUAUGUCGAUGGUUUAUACUGCCCCUGAUUCUGCCUGGUAUAAAAUGCCUAAGUCUACAAGGUGAGCUUUGUGGUUGGACAUGCUUUUACAUUGGUGUGGCUGCUGUUGCUUUUGGAUGCUCUUAUUAUCACCUCAAACCAAAUGAUGGUCACCUUGUUUGGGAUCGUUUGCCUUUAAGUUAUAUCAUUCCUCAUAUUUAACAAAUUUC